rnacentral:rRNA from 1 species
AACAAACGCUGGCGGCGUGCCUAAUACAUGCAAGUCGAACGGGGAAAGCUUUCGGGUGAGUACUAGUGGCGCACGGGUGAGUAACGCGUGGAUAAUCUGCCUUAGAGUGGGGGAUAACUAGUCGAAAGAUUAGCUAAUACCGCAUAAGACCACAAGAACUGCGGUUCAAGGGGUCAAAGGUUUUUCGCUCUAAGAUGAGUCCGCGUAAGAUUAGCUAGUUGGUGAGGUAAUGGCUCACCAAGGCGACGAUCUUUAACUGGUCUGAGAGGAUGAUCAGUAACACUGGAACUGAGACACGGUCCAGACUCCUACGGGAGGCAGCAGUAGGGAAUAUUGCACAAUGGAGGAAACUCUGAUGCAGCGACGCCGCGUGAGUGAUGAAGGCCUUCGGGUCGUAAAGCUCUGUCGCAGGGGAAUAACACAAUGAAUGUACCUUGCAAGAAAGGAUCGGCUAACUUCGUGCCAGCAGCCGCCGUAAAAC